CUUUAUGGCUGUGAUUUCUUGUGGCACCCUCAACUCUCAUUACACAGGAUCACAAAUUUCACUGUAACUUUCCCUGAGAAACUGGGCUCAGGAGAUAAUAUCAAGACCAGGGUGAGUUAUCACUGUUGUGAGUCGCAGAGAAUUCGUGCUGAAAUGAGGGUGAAGGAACAAACACUGCGCAGAGGAAUAUGAACUACUAUGUGUCCAUCUCUUUUUACAGUGUUCUCAACCAAAAUUAGACUGAAAGGUACAUCCUGUUGGCCUGACCUUGGGGGAGCAGAUCUGACUCAUCCAUAGCUGCAGGACUGGGAUCAAUGCCACGUUCCUUGACUCCUUCAAGGCUGGUGGUGAUAGUAGCUGUCCAGCUUUUAAUGGAGACAGUUAUGGAAAAAAGGAUGGUAAAGUAAAAUAAAAAAUAAAAAAUCA